GGGUUGUGAGGUUAAGCGACUAAGCGUACACGGUGGAUGCCCUGGCAGUCAGAGGCGAUGAAGGACGUGCUAAUCUGCGAUAAGCGUCGGUAAGGUGAUAUGAACCGUUAUAACCGGCGAUUUCCGAAUGGGGAAACCCAGUGUGAUUCGUCACACUAUCAUUAACUGAAUCCAUAGGUUAAUGAGGCGAACCGGGGGAACUGAAACAUCUAAGUACCCCGAGGAAAAGAAAUCAACCGAGAUUCCCCCAGUAGCGGCGAGCGAACGGGGAGCAGCCCAGAGCCUGAAUCAGUGUGUGUGUUAGUGGAAGCGUCUGGAAAGGCGCGCGAUACAGGGUGACAGCCCCGUACACAAAAAUGCACAUGCUGUGAGCUCGAUGAGUAGGGCGGGACACGUGGUAUCCUGUCUGAAUAUGGGGGGACCAUCCUCCAAGGCUAAAUACUCCUGACUGACCGAUAGUGAACCAGUACCGUGAGGGAAAGGCGAAAAGAACCCCGGCGAGGGGAGUGAAAAAGAACCUGAAACCGUGUACGUACAAGCAGUGGGAGCACGCUUAGGCGUGUGACUGCGUACCUUUUGUAUAAUGGGUCAGCGACUUAUAUUCUGUAGCAAGGUUAACCGAAUAGGGGAGCCGAAGGGAAACCGAGUCUUAACUGGGCGUUAAGUUGCAGGGUAUAGACCCGAAACCCGGUGAUCUAGCCAUGGGCAGGUUGAAGGUUGGGUAACACUAACUGGAGGACCGAACCGACUAAUGUUGAAAAAUUAGCGGAUGACUUGUGGCUGGGGGUGAAAGGCCAAUCAAACCGGGAGAUAGCUGGUUCUCCCCGAAAGCUAUUUAGGUAGCGCCUCGUGAACUCAUCUCCGGGGGUAGAGCACUGUUUCGGCAAGGGGGUCAUCCCGACUUACCAACCCGAUGCAAACUGCGAAUACCGGAGAAUGUUAUCACGGGAGACACACGGCGGGUGCUAACGUCCGUCGUGAAGAGGGAAACAACCCAGACCGCCAGCUAAGGUCCCAAAGUCAUGGUUAAGUGGGAAACGAUGUGGGAAGGCCCAGACAGCCAGGAUGUUGGCUUAGAAGCAGCCAUCAUUUAAAGAAAGCGUAAUAGCUCACUGGUCGAGUCGGCCUGCGCGGAAGAUGUAACGGGGCUAAACCAUGCACCGAAGCUGCGGCAGCGACGCUUAUGCGUUGUUGGGUAGGGGAGCGUUCUGUAAGCCUG
rnacentral:rRNA from 1 species